rnacentral:rRNA from 1 species
CCAGCAGCCCGGGUAAUACGUAGGUGGCAAGCGUUAUCCGGAAUUAUUGGGCGUAAAGCGCGCGUAGGCGGUUUUUUAAGUCUGAUGUGAAAUCCCACGGCCCUUUUAGGGAGGGUCAUUGGAAACUGGAAAACUUGAGUGCAGCCUUUGAAAGUGGAAUUCCAUGUGUAGCGGUGAAAUGCGCAGAGAUAUGGAGGAACUCCAGUGGCGAAGGCGACUUUCUGGUCUGUAACUGACGCUGAUGUGCGAAAGCGUGGGGAUCAAACAGGAUUAGAUACCCUGGUA